rnacentral:rRNA from 1 species
UACGGAGGGUGCAAGCGUUAUCCGGAUUCACUGGGUUUAAAGGGUGCGUAGGAGGGCAGGUAAGUCAGUGGUGAAAUCCUAGAGCUUAACUCUAGAACUGCCGUUGAUACUAUCUGUCUUGAAUAUUGUGGAGGUGAGCGGAAUAUGUCAUGUAGCGGUGAAAUGCUUAGAUAUGACAUAGAACACCAAUUGCGAAGGCAGCUCGCUAAACAUAUAUUGACUCUGAGGCACGAAAGCGUGGGGAUCAAACAGG